rnacentral:rRNA from 1 species
UACGUAGGCAGCAAGCGUUGUUCGGAGUUACUGGGCGUAAAGGGUGUGUAGGCGGUCUUCUAAGUCUGGUGGGAAAUCUCCCGGCUCAACUGGGAGGGUGCGCCGAAAACUGGAAGGCUAGAGUGCGGGAUGGGAGAGUGGAAUUCCUGGUGUAGCGGUGAAAUGCGUAGAUAUCAGGAGGAACACCUGUGGUGUAGACGGCUCUCUGGACCGCAACUGACGCUGAGACACGAAAGCGUGGGUAGCAAACAGG